rnacentral:tRNA from 1 species
UACCCCGUGUGAGGAUCGAACUCACGACCUUCAGAUUUUGAGACUGACGCGCUAUCUACUGCGCUAACGAGGA